GUAGGUGGCAAGCGUUGUCCGGAAUUAUUGGGCGUAAAGCGCGCGCAGGCGGUUCUUUAAGUCUGAUGUGAAAGCCCACGGCUCAACCGUGGAGGGUCAUUGGAAACUGGAGAACUUGAGUACAGAAGGGGAAAGCGGAAUUCCACGUGUAGCGGUGAAAUGCGUAGAGAUGUGGAGGAACACCAGUGGCGAAGGCGGCUUUCUGGUCUGUAACUGACGCUGAGGCGCGAAAGCGUGGGGAGCAAACAGGAUUAGAUACCCUGGUAGUCCACGCCGUAAACGAUGAGUGCUAAGUGUUAGGGGGGUUUUCCGCCCCCCUUAGUGCUGCAGCUAACGCAUUAAGCACUCCGCCUGGGAUACGGCCGCAAGGCUG
rnacentral:rRNA from 1 species